GUAGGUGGCAAGCGUUGUCCGGGAAUUAUUGGGGCGUAAAGCGCGCGCAGGCGGUUCUUUAAGUCUGAUGUGAAAGCCCACGGGCUCAACCGUGGAAGGUCAUUGGAAACUGGAGAACUUGAGUACAGAAGAGGAAAGCGGAAUUCCACGUGUAGCGGUGAAAUGCGUAGAGAUGUGGAGGAACACCAGUGGCGAAGGCGGCUUUCUGGUCUGUAACUGACGCUGAGGCGCGAAAGCGUGGGGAGCAAACAGGAUUAGAUACCCUGGUAGUCCACGCCGUAAACGAUGAGUGCUAAGUGUUAGGGGGUUUCCGCCCCUUAGUGCUGCAGCUAACGCAUUAAGCACUCCGCCUGGGGAGUACGGCCGCAAAGGCUG
rnacentral:rRNA from 1 species